GGGGAGGUUCAACCAACGAGAACUGCUAACUCUCGCAUCUGAGUAUAAAACCUCAGCCCCCUUG
rnacentral:tRNA from 1 species